GAAAAACUGAGGCCUAGGGAUUGGAUCCUUGUGGAAAUGCUAAUGGUAAAUUGCAACACAGAAAGGUGAAAGUAAGUUUCAGGGCAAAAGAAAAAUUAUCAUCAUUCAUCUCUUGUUUUUUUUUUUUUUUUUGGAUGAGAAUCUCUUUAAUAAAAAAUAAAAACACAAGUCUUUAUAGGAAGCAUGUGGCAAAUUGAGGUUUUCUCUAAUAUUCCUUGAAGCUGGUUUUCUGAUUCUCUGCACACCCCAUACUAGAGCUACUGACUCUUGUCUGAAAUGACCGUCUGCUGUGAACUUGGCUCUUGUGUUUUCCAGCAGAACUGAGACUUCUAGGAGUUAGUUAGCUGCUGGAGAAAGUGAGAGGAAUAGUGAGAGAUGGGAGAAGGAAAAGAAAAAUGAGUCAAACCCCAGCAGAUUAUUCAUCAAAAUAAAUACUGUGAAGAGCUUUUUCAGAGGCCCUGAUGCCAUUAGACAGUGAAUAAACACAGAGAGCAUUAGAGAACCCAAUGUAUCUAUGUGGACGACCUAAUUAUUUUUUUUCCUCUGGUGUGAAAUAAGGCUUAGGCCCUAUCAAUCAGCCCAGGAAUGACUAAUGAUUACAGAACAGAAGAUUUUCUGUAGUUUAUCCUUUGUAUCAAUACAUGAAAAAAAAUAUCCCUAGAAUUUUGUGAUCAAAUGUGGUUUUAAGUGAACAGAUAAGAGCACAAGUAAAUGGAAGGACUCCUCUAUUCCUAAGAGAAGUUGGUGAACUGCCCACAUAAUUUGCUGAUAAAGGCCCAUCUGUUAAAACAAAAGUAGUGUUGCAUUGGCAAUACAUUUCAGCCGGAGACCAUAAGUGGUUAUUUUUUCUUGACGGUCUUGUUGGCUGUUUUUUUUUAAGCCCUAGAAAACUAUUUGAAAAUGAAAUAUAGAUGAUGAUAUUGGCCUUAAGUUACGGUUACACUUUCUGCUGGGAGAGAAAAACCCGUCAGCCAAAAUCCUCUGGUAAACACUGUUGCGUGAUAAAUUGUUAUGAGAAUAAAGUCAUAAGGAAAACUCAGCUUCGCAAAUGACACACGUAGAAAAACAGCAGAUGUCUGAUGAAGUAAAGAACCAACUUAUUGCCAAGACCUUGAAAAACAAAAUUAAUUUCCUUUCGUCUUUGAUAAUGGUGAUGUAAUGUAGUUAAUAGGAAGAGCCUGCCACGCUCAAGUAGUUAUAAAAGGAGAAAUGUUCGCCAGGCACCGGGUCGGAAUCAUGGGUUUGAGUUGCUGUUACUCUUACCAAGUUGGUUGCUAGAUGAGAAAAGAAGAAAGGAAAAAAAGAGCUAGAGACACAGAAUGAUCUACAUGAUGGACAGAUAAAGAAACAAAAGUCAGCUAUCCAGAUAAAAGAAUCAUAAUGGUCUCAGGGUUGGAAAAGAGUUCCGCAUCUGCAAAACAGGGAUGAUGGGAUAAUGCCACCUGUCAGAGGGAUUGGAGAUAAUACAUGCAAUGCACAGCAUGGCACUGAGGAGGAGUUCGAUAAAUGAGACAUGCUGGUUCAUCAAAGUGUGGAGCUGCACACCUGGCUGACGAGCCCAGUGACCAGGAUUGCCUUCAACCUCAUGGCUCCAAAUCAUGGUCAGGACACUCUUGCUUCCUGAAGAGAGGGGACCAGCAAUGACCCCCCAGAGCUGCAGCGGAUGUGUUUUCCAGCCUGCUGUCUGGAUGCAUUUUGGGGAUGAGUUCCUGAUAUUUAUGUGAAAAGGAGGAUGACUGGUUCGCUCUGUCUUCUCAUUGAGUUUUGCCAGAGGUCACCGUCACAAAAUGUUGGAAGAAAUGGGGUGUGUAGGAAUUUGGGGCUGCCCUGGGAUUUCUUUGGAAGGAAUGAUGCUGAAGCUGAAACUCCAGUACUUUGGCCACCU